CCACAAUAACUUCAACUCGUCAACUAGGGGCUGCAUGUAUACAUUAAUCAAAUGUAUUAGGUUUCGUGGACCUUGAACAAUACAAGUUUGAAACAAAUAUUGACUUGUUAUACACAAUUCAGGUGGUAGAUUUUACGGCAUAAAAAACACUGGCCAACAUGAAUAUGGUGCAACAAACACUGCAAAUAGAGUGAAUCCAUCAGCACAUAAUCCCAACCUAAUAUUUCUCGUUUCUAUAACGACCCGGCUAGUUGUUUUGAGAAUUAAUGCCUCGAUCCUCUAUUAAUUGCUUUCUAUUUGUUAUUGCUAUUGCGAGUUGCCGGGAAGAUUCGAUUUGAGUUUCGAAGUGUAUUGGGACACUUAGUCGGAGCAGUAUGAAGAUGGCCUCGAAAUGGAAUUCCGUCAAUAACGUUAGCUUCGUUGAGUGAUUUCGGGAUUAGGGGCGUGUUCGGAUUGUGUUUUGGAGAUCUGUAACUUAUUUAGGCUUGAAAUGCUGAAAGUUGAAUUUUUGAAGUUUCCUGAUCGAUAGUGAUAUUUUGCUAUUAGUGUCGGAAUCCAAUUCCGAAAGUUGGAAUAGCUCCGUAGAAUUGAAUGUGAUUAGUGUGCAAAAUUUGGGAUCAAUCGGACAUGGUUUGGUUGGUUUCGGCAUCGGUUGUAGAAUUCUUGAGAUUCAAGUUCAUUAGGUUUGGAGUGGAGGGUGAAUCAUGGUUUUAGCAUUUAUUGAUGUGAUCCGAGGGUUGGACUAAGUUCGUAUGAUAUUUUAGGAAUGGUUGUCAUGUUUGGUCGAGGUCCCGAGGGCCUCGGUUCAGUCUCGGGUGUUUAACGAAAUUGGAUUUGGACUUAGGCAUUUUCUAAUAUUGCUGAAACUGUCAUGACUGCACCUGUGUAUGUGGGACCGUAGGUGCGUCCCCCCUGACCGCAGAUGCGGUAAUCACUCGGCAGAUAUAGAAAUUUCGAGGGUUUGAAGUUCAUAACAUCAAAUUUGAUUUUUAGCUCUGGAGAAGGUGAUUGUUUGAGAGGGUUUUGAAGAGGAAAUCAGUGGGUAAUGAUUCCUAACCCUAUUUCGUUUAUAUUUCAUCAAUCUAUUGUUGUUUUACACAUUUUAUCUAAGAAUUUGAGUGGAAGAAUGGGGAUUUGGGAGACAAGUUCCCCAAUUGAAAAUCCGAGUUUUGAGUAAGAUUUUGGAGUCGGAUUUUGAUGAUUUUUGUUCGAGUGUGCUCGUGAGUGAAUGGAUGUUCAUAAUUUGUGACUUUUACCCGAUUCCGAAAUGUGGGCCAGGGGAGGAUUUUCGGGUAUUUUCUAUUUUCUUACCUUAGCUUCGAUUCCUUUAGCUAAAUUCGUUGUUUGUAGUUAUAAUUACAUUAGGAAAUUUAUUUGAUUAGAUUUGGGCCACUCGGAGCUGGAUACUCAUGGAAAGAGCGUGAUUUCGGAUUGAUUUUGACCUGGUUCGAGGUAAGUGGCUUGCCUAACCUUGUGUGGGGGAAAUCCCCUUAGGAUUCUUGUACUGUUGUUAUAUGAGUGUCGUGUACGUGAGGUGACGAGUGCGUACACGUGCUAAUUGUUGAAAACCCCCAUUUUCAUUAAGUAAAGAUCUAUGUUUUCUUGUAAUUGAGCAAUACUGUACUUGAAGCCUCUUGUUUAGUUUAGGAAAAGCAUGCUUAUGUUAUUUAAUUGUCUUACCUACUUUAACGACAUACUUGUAUUCUGUGCAACAUGUUUAGAGUAGAAUUCAUGUUUAUUUUCGAAUAGAACUGUAGAUUCUUUCUUGAAACUGUUGUGUGUUUACUUUGGGACUACAUGACGAUAUUGUUUGACUCAAAAGAUAUCAGAAUCAUUUUGAAUAAAUCAAUCAAAGAAAAUGAAGGAGUAAAUCUUAGCUAAGUGUCACACCUCCUUUUUACCUACACCCCCGAGAAGGGUAUAAGGGAGUUUUUUUCAAUUUAAGUGACAAUCGAAACGGGAUCAUUUUAUUAAAAAUUCAGAGUCGCCACUUGGGAUAAUUUUAUGAUGUCCCAAGUCACCGGUUCAAAUCCCGAAUCGAGGGAAAGAUUGACUCUGUUUUACAGUCCGCAAGCACAGAAAUCCGGGUAAGGAAUUCUGUUAACCCGGGAGAAGGUGUUAGACAUUCCCGAGUUCCGUGGUUCUAGCACGGUCGUUCAACUGUUAUAAUUGGCCUAUUAUCUGAUUUUAAAAUUUUUUAGCCUAUGGUUCAAUUUUAACUUUAAACCGCUUUGAAUUAUUUUAAGGAAGAUUUCAACGUUAGCCACAACACGUCUUUUGACCGCGACACAUCAAAUGCACCCGCAGUCUGAGACAUGUUCUAUUUGACGUUGUUAAGAUUUGGAUUUGGGUCACAUGAAAAGCGCACCCGAGUUUAGGAAUGUAAUAUUAUUAAAAUAACGUGCCUAAAGCAACUACGCGUUAGUGAAUAUUAAUGGCUUAAGCAUACUACUAACAGCGAAAGCCAUAAAACUAGAAUAGAAGUAACAAAACAUUUAAAACCCAAUUUGAUUACAUGUUCAAUGUCACCCCUAUGACCCCAUCAAACAACUGAUUUUUAUUUCUAGCAACAUACCAAAUCUAUACGACAAGCUUGAUCCAGUAACACCACGAAGGCAUAAUAUUAAACAACGGAUAAUGAAGAAAUUGAGUUAAGCAGAAGAAGUGGAUUUCAAAUGACAAAGUUGAAGCUCCUAAAGCAUAUUGUUAUGGAAGUAGUUCUCAAAAUCAAUCAACUCUAAAGGAUGAAAACAUAGUUGCCUUUCUUUCCUGCCUCUAUGAUGGCACGUCCAAAAAGAAGGAAGAAAAGGAAAUCUUAAAAUGGACCAAAGACAACUUCUCAAAUAUUUAUAUCAAACUUUGAAGGAUCUUUCCAAAUGCAAAUUUAGAACUUAUACUCUCAGGUAUAUCAAAUAGAAGUCUAAACCUAGUUAGUGACAAAUAUAUUAGUGGACUCCUAAUUAAUAAACUUAGAAUCUGCUUCAAAACACUUGUUCAAAUAGAAAAUCUACACAGUAGCUCGUAGUUCUUCAAUAAACAUAUAAAAUCUCAUUCCUUUAGCAAUCUAAGAAAUUGAAGAAAACCCAUUAAAGGUCUAUUUAUCUACUCAAGAUGAGCAUGAAGUAUACUGUAUGUCAACUAUAAUACUUUCAAAACUCAAAAAUUAGAUUCAACACAAAAGCCAUAAAGCUACAAGUUCAUACAUGUGUUGAACUCAACCAAACAAGCAGAAAUAUUCAUGAAAGUUGCGAGCAACCAUAUGACGAUCACACACUCUUAUUAACAAUCGCGAAACAGAUCCGAGUUUCAUUUGUUAAUCUCAAAAAUAGUAGCGGAUCAAACAAUCUAUAAGCCAAUCAAACCCUGGCUCUCAUCAUGCUUUAAAUCAGCACCAAAACAUAAGGGAGUUUUUUCCAAUUUAAGUGACAAUCGAAACGGGAUCAUUUUAUGAAAAAUUCAGAGUCGCCACUUGGGAUAAUUUUAUGGUGUCCCAUGUCACCGGUUCAAAUCCCGGAUUGAGGAAAAGAUUGACUCUGUUUUACAGUCCGCGAGCACAGAAAUCCGGGUAAGGAAUUUUGUUACCCCGGAAAAAGGUGUUAGGCAUUCCCGAGUUCCGUGGUUCUAGCACAGUCGUUAAACUGUUAUAAUUGACCUAUUAUCUGAUUUUAAAAUGUUUUAGUCUAUGGUUCAAUUUUAACUUUAAACCGCUUUGAAUUAUUUUAAGGAAGAUUUCAACGUUAGCCAAAACACGUCUUUUGACUGCGCCACAUGAAAUGCACCCGCAGUUUGAGACAUGUUCUAUUUGACGUUGUUAAGAUUUGGAUUUGGGUCACAUGAAAUGCGCACCCGAGUUUAGGAAUGUAAUAUUAUUAAAAUAACGCGCCUAAAGCAACUAUGUGUUAGUGAAUAUUAACGGCUUAAACAUACUACUAACAGCGAAAGCCAUAAAACUAGAAUAGAAGUAACAAAACAUUUAAAACCCAAUUUGUUUACAUGUUCAAUGUCACCCCUAUGACCCCUUCAAACAACUGAUUUUUAUUUCUAGCAACAUACCAAAUCUAUACGACAAGCUCGAUCCAGUAACACCACGAAGGCAUAAUAUUAAACAACGGAUAAUGAAGAAAUUGAGUUAAACAGAAGAAGUGGAUUUCAAAUGACAAAGUUGAAGCUCCUAAAGCAUAUUGUUAUGGAAGUAGUUCUCAAAACCAAUCAACUCUAAAGGAUGAAAACAUAGUUGCGUUUCUUUCCUGCCUCUAUGAUGGCACGUCCAAAAAGAAGUAAGAAAUGGAAAUCUUAAAAUGGACCAAAGACAACUUCUCAAAUAUUUAUAUCAAACUUUGAAGGAUCUCUCCAAACGCAAAUUUAGAACUUAUACUCUCAGGUAUAUCAAAUAGAAGUCUAAACCUAGUUAGUGACAAAAAUAUUAGUGGACUCCUAAUUAAUAAACAUAGAAUCUACUUCAAAACACUUGUUCAAAUAGAAAAUCUACACAGUAGCUCGUAGUUCUUCAAUAAACAUAUAAAAUCUCAUUCCUUUAGCAAUCUAAGAAAUUGAAGAAAACCCAUUAAAGAUCUAUUUAUCUACUCAAGAUGAGCAUGAAGUAUACUGUAUGUCAGCUAUAAAACUUUCAAAACUCAAAAAUUAGAUUCAACACAAAAGCCAUAAAGCUACAAGUUCAUACAUGUGUUGAACUCAACCAAACAAGCAGAAAUAUUCAUGAAAGUUGAGCAACCAUAUGACGAUCACACACUCUCAUUAACAGUCGCAAAACAGAUCCAAGUUUCAUUUGUUAAUCUCAAAAAUAGCAGCGGAUCAAACAAUCUAUAAGCCAAUCAAACCCCGGCUCUCAUCGUGCGUUAAAUCAGCACCAAAACAAAAGUGGAAAGGGAAAGAGAUGAGCCUGAACAGGAAUUGUCGGAUAAAUUCGACUUCGAAUGUACAAGCGAGGAAAAUUCAGCGUCGUAUUGGAAUGGAACUAAUGCAGCGGCUAAACUAGACAAAGGAUCCGGAACUUGAACCUCGAUCGACACCUCAAAACUCGAGCCUGAACACCGUAAGCAACUUCCAAUUUGCAAUCAAAAUUGAUAUUGAAAAGAAGAGACAGAGAUCUAUUUUUGAAUUUUUUCCUUCUGAAACACGAUUCCACACUACCACAAGAAUAUAACCCCCAAUUUCCGUCGAGUUUUUCUCUUAAGAUUCUGUCUCCAUUACAUUCUAUUCCCUUUGUUCUCCGUCCAUAUGUGUGUGUGUGUGAUGCUGCCGAUUUUAGAGGGGUGGUGAAGGUUGGCUAUGGUGAUCAGGUGGGGGGCUGUUUAGGGUAUGUAUGGAGAAGAAGAUCGAAGGGUUCCAAAAGGAGAAGCUAAGGGUCGUUGGCUCUGUUCAAUCGAGAGAGAGAGACGGUCCCCGUAUGUGUAACGACUGCUUCAGCUCUUUGUAAUUUUUUUUUGCUCUCAUUUCUGUUCAAGAAGAAGCUGAUGGGUCUGUUCCAUUUCCUAAACAAAACGCUGAUAGCUCCUUUAGUGUAUAUCCCCUGCGUUAUUUUGUCCCCCUCUCACCGUAGAGUCUAGGUCUAAUGUGUAUUUAUGUGUAUUUUGUCAUUUAGUCUAUAGGUCUUUUUGUGUUAAGUCCUUAGGGUCUUUUUAUUUAUUUUUUGUUCCAAAAAAGAUUCUAGAAGGGUCUCUAGGAUUAGCUUAAUGGGUAUUGGACAUUGAGCUUAAAGAAUGAGCUAGAAACUUGGGCCUUUAUGACUAGCUAUGUUUAAAAUUAGCUUAAUUAACUAAAAGUAUUUUUUAAAAUAUUAAUUAGUUCUACUUAUGCAAAAAUAAAUAUUAAAAUAAGACUGACCAUUAAAACAAAACUAUUUUUUUGGUAUUUUUCAAGAUUAAAAAUGACUACAAAAUAUUAAUGAGCCUAUUUUUUGUAAUUUUUGUUUUCUUGUUAUAAAAUAAAAGUAAAAGAGUAAAAAUGAGUUGAAAUAGCUUUAUUAGGCCUAAAUUAAAUAUUUACGUGCUAAAAUAUAAAAAAUCUUGGGGAUAGUCAAAAAUUACAUGUCUACACUAAGUAUAAUAAUCUCUAGAACGAAAGAUAGAUAAGGGGAAUAUGGAUGAUAAGAAUUCUUUAUCUCAUCUAGACCAAAAGACCUUCUACAAUAAUAUCCUCAAUCCUUUAUGUAAGCAAGUAUUAUGGAUUGGCAAAAGUGUCCGCCCUUACAAAGUUGUUGCACGCUAUAUAUAUAAGGAAGCCAACCUUUUUGAGCUCUAAGACAAGUUAUAGGGAAUAUUCAAAAGAAUAUUCCUAAUGUCCCCUAAUGGGCCUGCACUACUGCAAGGGUCGUACAAUCUCUUGUUUGCCUUAAGGUCGCCCUUUGCAAGACAUCGAGCUGCGAGGAUCCCGUCAUUCGUCGUACUCAUCAACGGUCGUGGUUGUUCAAAUUUGGACCCAUACAGUUAGUCCCUCCACUUGUUAGGGUUGCAACUCGGUGCGUCCUCGAUGAGCGGACACCAUGCGCUCUUACGGAGAAAUUUGACCCUACGAGGUGUUACGGCCUGGCCAAUGGUAGGCGGUCAGCGUGCUUAGCAAGACACCAAGUAAUGCAUUUUACCGGGAAAUGACAUCAUCUUUACGUGGGUCAUCAUUAUGCGUUUUUCCAAGAUGGGGGAUUGAUGGCUUGUCGCUUCGAUUUUGGUGCAACUCUGUGUCCUUCCGCUUCGAUUAUGGCACCACCCAUUCCUAUAAAUAGGUGGAGAGUUUGUUUUUUCAAAAAUUCAUGGCUAUUUCAUUUCUGAUUAUCCCUCCUUAUUUCUCCGAGUUUGUCUUAACACCCUUCUGCUUCUUCUUCUCACACUCUUCGUUCACAACCUCUUCUUCUUCCUCUCUUUUUGCUGUGUCACUACCUUUUUAACGAAAGCAUGCCAAGAUCACAUCGAUCUCAUGAAGGGGUUUUCGAGGCCGCCCUGUUGUCCAUGGCGCCUCCUUCAGGUAGUGAGGAUAUGACAGUAGAAGAAGGUGAUAGUCUUCAUAUGGUAGAAGAGUUACUGCCGAGACACCCCAUGUCUCGAAGUGACUUCCUCAAAGAUCCCCCUUCUACUCCUACCCCCAUAUUCUCUGAGACGGAACAAGUUCACAUAGGCGCCCUUCGUGCAAAGUAUGUCAUUCCCGCUCAUGUUGACAUGGUUCCAGCGGGAAGGGAUUUCGUAGAGGUUCACAAACCUGGGUAUUGUGAUUUCUACGAGUACCCUUUCGUGAUUGGAUACUCUUUUCCCCUCCUCCCAUUAGUAGAAGAGUUCUGUAGGUUCUACCAAAUUUGCCCGGCACAACUUUCUCCAUACACGCUCAAGAUACUUCUGAUGUUGACCAAGUAUGCGGAGUUGGCGGAAUGCGAUGUUUAUAUCCAUCACCUCUUGCUCCUGUUCUCGCCCAGCUUCCAUAGGGGUACUAUGGUGCAUUUGAGGCAUCGUGGCACAAAAGGAUUGGUGGUUGGGACCGAUGACCGAGCAAGUCACAAGUUUUGGCAUAAGUAUUUCUUUGUCAAAACUCAACACAUUGUUUCUGACUCCGCCAGGUUCCCGGAGCGGUGGAACGAGACUCGUAAGUGUCGCCACUCAUUUUGCUGUUCCUUCAUCUAUAUUCAUUAUAGGGUUUGUUUGUUUCUUGUUUGCAGCUAUGAGACGUCAGCCCCGCCCUAUUGCCGAUAUUAGGGAUUGGGUAGCCUGUCUGUUGCCCCAUGCAGCGGAAACCCUAGAUUGGCCCGCCUUCAUAAUACCUUAUGGCCCGAGAGUGCCAUCCGGUAAAUGUUUCCCCCUUAUCGCUUUGUUAGUUAUAUGUCGUCAUCUAUUGAUACGACUUUCCAUGACAACAGGUCGAGGAGCUUCCAGGCGGAGGGCACCAGUCCCUGCAUUCCGACAGGCCAUCGCUGCCGCAUGAAUGCAGUUUGCUUUGACUGAGUCUGUUCGAGGGGUCAUGCUCAACCGAUUCAAGUAUAAGGUUCCUCUCGGGACAUGGUCGUGAGGGAGGAGGCUUCUACAAUACCGGCCCUGCAUCUUUUGGAUGAAUCUUCUUACGGGGAUGAGUCGUCGAGAAAAAGGAGGAGAAUGGAGCUUGGGAAGGAUGUGGCCGUGGACGCUGGUAGAAGUAGGGCAUUGCAUACGGCACAUGUUCCCACCUUUAUGGCCAACACCAUUUUAGCGGCGAGGUCUCCCCAAACGGAUGGAAUUUACCCAGGGGCCAGCUCCGUGCGCUCCACUAAGGGUUGCGCGUCAUCCAACGUUGGAGGGGGUCGUCGUGUCGAGGGCGAAGGAUCAGGUUUAGAUGUCGACCCGGAGGAUAUUCGCGAGUUUGUAGGUCGCCAUACUCACGUGGAGGUCAGAGUGGAAAGAUCUGGUUGUCACAUAGUUUUUCCGGGGGACUACAAUUUGUUGUUGAACUGCGAUCAAGUGGCGUCUGUUUUAGCUCCUCUAUGUGUUUCCCCUAAGUGCGAGGUGCUUAUGGCAAUGAGAGACAUGGAGUUGUCUUGUCGUCGGCAUGGCCUUACAAGUAGGUGUCUUUCUUUUCCUUUUCGUUGUUGGUCUUACGUUGUGAUUGUCGACCUAUGUUUUUGUCUUUAACUACUCAUUUUCUCUUUUUUUGUGCUAAACCCUUAUCAUGGAGACCGAGCGCGAGCGUCGGGAAAGGAAGAGGAAGGCCAUUUACGGGAAGAUGUCUUCCAAAUACCAAGAGAAUCGUGCUAAGCAUCGCACAAUGGCAGAUAUUUAUAAUCAGCACCCUGAUUUUCAGUUGUUCUGUGAAGGACUCAAUCAGAGGGAGGACCAACUGGCGCGUAAGGUCAAAGAGCUAAGGGAGCGAGAUAAGGAGAUUAUGAAGGGUGUCGCCUGCAAUAGUGAACUUGAGGCCUCCCAUAAGGUGAAGGAGGAUGAGCUUGAGUUAAGCAGGGGGUGAUGGCCGAGAAUGCCGACUUACAAGCAAAGGUGGCCAGUUUGACUGCUGAGUUGAGUAUGAAGGCGGUGGAGAAUGAGGGGCCUAAGGGCGAACUGAACGUCGGUGAUGAUAAGCUGGCGACAGCUAUUUCUGAAAACAACGUCCUUAGAGGAUACCCUUCGUGUUUGUAGGUCAGAGCUGACCGAGGAGAAGGAGGCCUCUAAGCUUAAGGUUGCGGGGCUUGAAGGGUGUGUUAAGGAUUUGGAGGCGGAGCUAUCUGUGUUGAAUGGACAAGUGGCCUCACUGAGAGCGAAGGAUGCAUGUCAAAGCUCACAACCUUCUACAUCUCAUUCCUCGACCGAUCCGGUCGUGCCUCGUUGCUUAUAUGAGUUGUGGGUCCAUGUUGAGUCCUGACUUGAUGUGUACAAGGCUCUUCAUGCCGAGGGAAGGGUAACUAAACUAGAGCUUUAGGUCGUGCAUAUUGAAGCUCGGGCAGCUCGGGAGGCAUGCGGGUACGACCCUCUUACUCAUGACGGGGAUGACAUCAACUUUGAUGAUGUGAAUCGUCUUACUUCUAACUCUUGGUACGAAGAUGCGUACCCAACCUGGGGUAACGUGUAAUCUUUUGCUUGUACUUACUUUUUGUUUUGGGACUUCUGUAAGGGGAUUGCUUGAGCUCGUUGUAAAGAUAGGUGUAAGUAACAUUUUGAUGUAAUGUAGAAUUUGUUUUGUCGAUUUGGUGGUGAUCUUUACAAUAUCUAUGGCAUCCGGGGUACUUGUUGAAUUGUUAAGCCGAUUUAGCUUUUGGGUGAGGUUGAUUCCUUUUCUUUUGGCGAUGGCUUUAGCCUCUGUGAUGCUAUUUUCGAACGAUCGUCAAAGUGGAAUCCCAUCGUAGUUCGAUCGAGGUCGAACUCAUAUUUUCGUCGAUGGCCUUGGCCAUUGGGAUGUUGCAUCGAGUUGUCGUGGAAGUAGGAUCCCGUCGUAGUUCGAACAAGGUCGAACUCAUAUUUUGGUCGAUGGCCUUGGCCAAUGGGAUGUUGCUUCGAGCUGUCAUCAAUGUAGGAUCCCGUCGUAGUUCGAGCGAGGUCGAACACAUAUUUUUGUUGAUGGCCUUGGCCAUCGAGAUAUUGCUUCGAACUGUCAUCGAAGUAGGAUCCCGUCGUAGUUCGAACGAGGUUGAACUCAUAUUUUCGUCGACGGCCUUGGCCAUUGGGAUGUUGCUUGGAACUAUCAUCGAAGUAAGAUCUUCUCGUAGUUCGAGCGAGGUCGAACACAUAUUUUCGUCGAUGGCCUUGGCCAUUGGGAUAUUGCUUCGAACUGUCGUCGAAGUAGGAUCCUGUUGUAGUUCUAACGAGGUUGAACUCAUAUUUUUGUUGAUGGCCUUGGCCAUUGGGAUGUUGGUUCAAACUGUCGUCGAAGUAGGAUCCCGUCGUAGUUCGAACGAGGUCAAACUCAUAUUUUUAUCGAUGGCCUUGUCCAAUGGGAUGUUGCUUCGAGUUGUCGUCAAAGUAGGACCCUGUCGUAGUUCGAGCAAGGUCGAACUCACAUUUUCGUCGAUGGCCUUGGCCAUUGGAAUGUUGCUUCGAGCUGUCGUCGAAGUAGGAUCCUGUCGUUGUUCGAACAAGGUCGAACUCAUAUUUUUGUCGAUGUCCUUGGCCAUUGGGAUGUUUACAUUGGAGGUUUGAUCAUAUUCCCAUAGGAAAAUACAUGUUGACUUUAUUCAUACAAUGGCCAUUUAAUUAUAUUCUUGUAAGAAUCACAUGUCGACUCUGUACAUACAAUGGAGAUUUGAUUAUCUAUAUCUAGUCCAUUCAUUACUCGGUCUGGAGAACACGUCGAUGGGUGGGGUAAUGAACAAUACUUCGAAUCUCGAGACACCCCCCUUGACGCCUUAUUAAAAACCUCACCGAGAAAACCCGAUUGGGAAAAAACCCCGGAUAAGGGAAAAAAAGUACGACUUAGGUGGCGCCUCCUUUCAGAAGUGGAAGUAUUUGAGAUGGGCGACAUUCCAAUUAUUUUGGAGUAAUUUUCCCUCCAUUGUCUCUAACUGGAAUUCUCCUUUGUUUGUUGUCGCCGUGAUUUUGUAUGGUCAGUUAAAGUUUGUUUCUAGUUUUACCUCAUUAGGGUCUUUUGCUGCUUGUGUUUUAGCUUUGAGGACGUAAUCUCCGACCUUGAGCGGUCGCACUUUGUUCUUCUUGUUGUAAUACCUUUCUACUUUUUGUUUUUGGGCUACCAUCUUAUGUGGGCUAUGUCUCUUCGUUCUUCGACUUCAUCCAGAUCUUGUAGCCUACUUUCGACAUUGUUUGGUCUGCUCUUGUUGGAGUAUCUCAAGCUAGGCUCUCUGACCUGGACGAGUAUAAAUGCGUUAGUCCCAUAGACUAGUGAAUAUGGCAUCUCGCCUGUGCUGGUUUUUGGUGUAGUAUGGUAUGCCUAUAAUACUUCUGGUAGUAGUUCAGGCCAUAGCCCUUUGGCGUCUUUGAGCUUGUUUUUCAAUAUAUGCAGUAUUACUUUAUUGGAGGAUUUUGCUUGACCAUUGCCAGCGGGAUGGUAUGGUGUGGAGAGUAUUCAUUUGAUGUGCCAUUUUUCGAAAAACUCAGUCGUUUUCUUUCCGACAAACUGAGGUCCGUUGUCAUAGCUGAUUUCUUUGGGGAUGCCGAAGUGACAUAUUAUAUUUUUCCAUAUGAACACGAUAACCUGUUGCUCACGUAUUUGAGUGUAUGCACCUGCUUCCACCCAUUUAGAAAAGUAAUAAGUUAAAACCAAAAGGAAACGUACCUUACCUCGUCCUGCUGGGAGGGGUCUGAUGCUAUCCAUCCCCCACAUUAUGAAUGACCAUGGCAAAGUGAAGGAAUGUAGGAGUUCCCCUGCUAGGUGUAUCAUAGGGGUGUACUUUUGACAUUGUUCACACUUCCUAACGUACUCCGCGACCUCUUUUCUCAUGGUGGACUAGUAAUAUCUGGCGCGGAUGAGGCAUCGCAUGAGGGCGCGGUUACCCGUGUAGGCACCACAACGCCCUUCAUGUAUUUCUUUUAGUACUCGCCUUGUUUGAUUUGGCCCAAGACAUUUUUCCAAGGGGCCGCCGAACGUUCUCUUGUAAAGAUCACAGUUUACGAGGCUGUAUCUGGCUGUCUGUAUUCAGAGAUUUUUGGCUUUUUUUUUAUCUUGUGGGAGCGUUCCAUCCUGCAAAUAUGUCACGAGACGGUUGUGCCAGCCCUAAGUUAGGUUUACAGAAUGUACCUCGACUUGGUCUAUUGCGGAAUGGAGAAGGGUGACCACGUUUUCCUUGUUGAUAUUUUUGGUGGCUGCCGCUAGCUUGGCGAGGCCGUCUGCUUUGAUAUUCUGCGCCCUAGGUAUUUGGUCAAGGCGGCAUUCAUCGAACUCUGGCAGCAGUUUGUGAAUUUCUGACUGGUACUUUUGUAGUCUUUAUUCUUUGAUUUGGAAAGUCCUGGUGACUUGGUUCACCACGAGUUAAGAGUCGCAAUGGAGGACGAGUCGUCGAGCGCCAUAUUUGAGGGCUAAUUUCAAUCCUGCAAUCAUAGCUUCAUACUCGGCCUCGUUGUUAGUCAUCUUGGGGCAUCGUAUGGACUGGCGGAUUACUUCGCCCUAGGAACCUUGAGGAUGAGUCCCAGUCCCGAUCCCGAUGCAUUAGAUGCACCGUCAGUGUAGAAGACCAAGAGGUCGGAAUGUGCGGAAGUGCGGAGUGCCUCCUGCUCUACUUCAGGCAAUAUUUCUGCACUGAAAUCAGCAACGAAAUCGGCGAGCACCUGAGACUUAAUGGCAGUUCGCAGUUGGUAUAUUAUGUCGUGCUCGCUUAAUUCUAUGGCCCAAUUUGGCCAAUCUACCCGAUAAUUCGGGUUUGUAUAGGAUGCCCCUCAGGGGGAAGGCUGUCUUCACUUUUACGGGGUGACAUUGAAAAUAUGGUCUAAGCUUUCGUGAAGCUACGACUAAUGCCAAAGCUAAUUUUUCAAGGUGAGGGUACCUUGAUUCGGCAUCAAUUAAGGUUUUGCUGACAUAGUAAAUUGGAGAUUGCGUACCUUUGUUUUCGCGGAUCAAGACUGUACUUACCGCGACUUCUAAGACUGGUAGGUACACCAGUAGGCAUUCACCCGGGUUUGCCUUGACGAGUAGUGGUGGCGAGGAUAGAUAAACUUUCAGCUUUCUCAGGGCGUCGACGCAUUCUGCUUUCCACUGCAGUCUAUGGUCUUUCCUUAGCACAUUGAAGAAUUUAUGGCAUCUGUUCGAUGAUCGUGAAAUGAACCUCGACAGGGCGGCUAUUCGUCCGGUUAAUUUCUGCACCUGCUUCUUGUUGUUCAAUGUCUCCGGCAUUCCUUCGAUGGCCCUGAUCUGAUCCAGGUUGACCUCGAUACCCCUUUGUGACACCAGAAAACCAAGGAAGUUUCCUGAAGUUACGCCGAAGGCGCAUUUUUCGGGAUUCAAUUUCAUUCCAUAUUACCUCAAUAUCUUGAAGUCUUCCUUCAGAUGGCCAAUGUAAUCCUCUUUCUUUUUCGACUUUACUAACAUGUCAUCGAUGUAAAUCUCCAUGGUCUUACCGAGUUGUUCUUUGAACAUCUUGGUGACUAACCUUUGAUACGUCGCCCCUGCAUUCUUGAGUCGGAAUGGCAUUACCUUGUAACAGUACGUUCCUCAGUGAGUGAUGAAAGUGGUCUUUUCUUGGUCUUCUUCAGCCAUUAAAAUUUGGUUGUAACCAGAAUAGGUGUCUAAGAACCUGAGUAGUUCGUGUCCCGCCAUUGCGUUGAUGAGCUGGUCGAUGUAUGGUAACAGAAAGGAAUCUUUCGAGCAUGCUUUGUUUAGGUCGGUGAAGUCGACACACAUCUGCCAUUUCUCAUUCUUCUUUUUCACCAUGACCACAUUGGCUACCCAUUGGGGAUAUUUCGAUUCUCGAAUGGAACCAUUGGUGAGUAAUUUAUCAACCUCUUCGCUGACCGCCUCAUUGAUGACGGCAUUGAACUUUCUCCUCAUUUGCCGUAACCUGUGUGUGGCGAUAUCCCUUGGGAUUACUUGCAUAUCUAAAUGGAAAAAGGCAAACAAAUCGACAUUGUUAGUUACAAACUCACAAUAUUUACCUGGUUUUGAGAGGUUGUGUCCGAUAUAAGCCACUUUCAUGCUAUUGGCGUUGUCCAGUUGGACGGGGUCGAGGUCUUCUAAGGUUGCCUUGCAAGCUUCUACGACAUCCGGGUCCUUGGUGGCCUCUAUUUGUACGUCGGAUUUGGUUCACGAUAUGACUGAUUGCUAUGCUUCCGCACUUGCCCCUUUUAGUUGUUUGGUGUGUUUGCAAUCUUGGGCGAUCCGGUAGCAUUCUUUGGCGGUGCGUUGCUCGCCUCAGAUGCUGAAUAUCCCCCACGGGGUAGGAAAUUUAAUUAGUUGAUAGAAACUUGACGGGAUGGCUCGCAUGGCAUGCAUCCAUUGACGCCCUAUGAUGGCGUUGUAGGCCGUUUCCUAGUACAUGACGUGGAACGUCGUCCCCAGGGUGACUUCUCCUGCUAGGACGGGUAGCACUAUCUCUCUAGAGGUUCGUUCCAGUGCAUUAUUAAAAUCCGUCAGUGUUAUGCAACACGGUAUUAUUUUAUCCUUGAGCCUCAUCUGUAUGAGAACUUAUAGGUGAACAAUACAUGCGCCGCUUCUGUCAUCCACCAUUAUUCUUUUUACGUCGGUAUCCGCGAUGCGUAAAGUUAUAACCAAAGCAUCAUAGUGAGGGAAAGACAAACCGGUUGUAUCCAACUUAUCGAAGAUGAUACUGUCUUCAAGGUCGUCAUACCUGUCACGACCCAAAUUGGAGGGCCGCAACGGGCACCUGGUACCUUACCCAACAGAGUACUAACGUGACGUAUUCUUUCUUAUCAUACCUUUAUGGGUAAAUGGGACGGAAGGGCUGUCAUGAUAUAACCAGAAUGAGACAUAAGGGAAUACUCAACAUAGGAUGACCCAACAUGAUAUACAAACUUAUACAUGUGACAUGCCUAUAAGACCAAAAUGAACACUCGUACACUGAACAUAGGCCGACAAGGCCAUACAAUCUUUCAUAUGCAUGACAUCUGUCUACAAUCCUCUAAGAGCACAUACAUAUCAUAAGGUUAGGACAGGACCCCACCAUACCAAUCAGUACAUGUCCAAAUCAUAUUGACCAAAUAGGUAACUCUGGAGCAAGUGGAGUGCACCAACACCUUCCGUUGAGCUGAUAGCCUACUAGGAGGAAUGUCAACCUAUCUAUCGGGACCUGCAGCAUGAAAUGCAGUGUCCCCAGGCAAAAGGGACAUCAGUACGAAUAAAGUACCGAAUAUGUAAGGCAGGAAAAUGUAAAUAAGAACAGUAAUGUAAAGAGAGAUAGAGGAGAUACAACCUGUAACAUCUGAGUGCCUCUGGGGGCUACUGACAUGAAAUGCAUAAUACAUAUAUAUACAUAAACUUUUUAAAAUCAUACGCAUCUAUGGGCAUCAUCAUCAUCAUAUCGUACCCGGCCUCAAAGAGGACCCGGUAAAAAAAAUGUACUCGACCAUCAUAAGGCUCGGUAGAAUCGGACCCGACCACGUGGAGCUCGGUAAACCCAACUGAUUAGUUGUUGCACAAUAGGUGUCGUACUCGGCUGACUAUAACGCGCCUCGGUAAAGUAAAAUAGAUACAUAUAUAUAAUGCAUGCUCAACUCAUGGAAUCAUGCUCUAAACCUUUCAGAAUAAUGUAAGGUCAGUAUCCUCUGUACACAUUAUCAGGACUAACUCUUCACUAUGAACCUUAUAAGAAUUAGGAAGUAUCAAAAACAUUGAUAACAUAAGAAUGAGAGAAGCAACAUCAACAUCAAUUGUUCCAUAAGAGGGGAAACAAUUUAAGUACUGCUAGCUUCUAAGAGUAGAGUAUCUUUGGAAGAUCGUUCAUUACAUUACAUACAAUCGGAGUCAUGCAAAAGAAGGAAAAGGAUAGCCUCACAUACCUUGUAUAUGUACUGCCCAACCUCAAGCUAUGCAAAUGUCAUGACUCCUUAGUCUACAAUAAGAGAAAUGACACUAUCGUUAUCGUUUUAGCAUCGUAAUUAUUAUGUAUCGGCCACAACCUAUUUCACAAUGAAAUGGAAAGCACCUCCCCUAUAUAUAUAACUUCACACAAGUCAAAACAAUCACAAACAACCCAACAUAUCUCUAUCACUUCAUACACAACACGACAACCAUAAUAGUAUCAAAUAAUCCGAAAAUGUUACGACGAACGACCAACAAACAACCUUGCCAUUAUGUGGUGUUUCUCUACACCCUUCCUCCUCUCAACUCUAUGAAAACAAUAGCAAAAGAGACAAACCAAUACCAACACAAAACCGCCUACAAAAUAGUCCCACAAGUUCAUCAGCUCAAAAGUAAUUUUUCAGUUUACUUAAACACGUUUCGACUUGUCUUUUCUCUCAAUUGAGAAACACAACCAAAAGUACAUAAUUAUACCUCUUAUCCAAUAAACCAGCCAUGAAUUCAACUUAAAAAUAAGUUCACAACCAGCCAACCAUUACACAAGAACAAACAACAUACCAUUCUUUCGAAACUAGCUAGGUCUAUUCUGUAUGAUCGAGUUACAACUCGCAAACGCAUAGAUAAUGGAAGGAUAAGCAUAAACGAACCUUGUACUGACUAUAAUCAACGAAACCUGGUCCUUCUUCAUCAAAAAUAAGUUCCUCAACAUGGCUACAAGAAGGAGAAAGAGAAACUAGCAAGCUGUUCGGACUUUUCAGCACUAGAAUCGCAUCGUAACACCCGGAGUACCCUAGGGUUUGUGUGGGAUUUUUGGGUAGGAGUUGCAGGGGCUCAAUUAGGUUUUCUUGGUCUGAAAGAUAGGUGAAAUAACUGUGUUGAUAGUUCCUUAAAUGACCCCUCUUGGCCGACUUUGGGGUUUUUAAUUGAGUCCUCUCAUUUUGGCAAGUAGGUGAUGCACCUACUAGUUACCUACCAGCCUGCGCAUUCUCGCAAAAGUACGAGUAUCUCUCUACUCUGACUCUGUAUCGACAAACAAUUUAAUGCUUUAGAAAACUAGAUGCAUAGAUCUUUAAUUUUGUUGGUAGAUCAUCCCCUAAUUCCAAGUAUAUUAGGAGAAAAGCUCAGUUACAUUUGACCUAAUUUUCAGCACAUUUAUGAAUAGAACUUGUGAUGACCUUUUCCAACUUUUGUUCCAUAACUCGCUUGACAUCAAAACAUAACACCAACUAUCAUACGACUAAAAUAACUCAUAUUAUAAUCUCCUUAUAAUGUUAAUAACCCUAGUUUCAUCCCAAAAGUACAUGGUAAAACAUUCCAACUUGUUGACUUUCGACGAAACUUAUUUUCUUCAAUUUGUUUAGCUUCUAAGCCUUUAAACCCUCUUGCUACUUGGGAUUAAUGAUCUUAAAUAUUUGUAACAUCCGUGUUAACAUGAUGAACUAAAUUUGUAAACUUUUCAAAGAUGAUUCCCUUUCUGAGCUUACAUUAAUUGACUUAUGCCGUACUCUUAUGUACGAAAACAUAUGGUGUAACAUCAUUCCCCCCUUUGGAAUACUCGUCCUCGAAUGUUGACUAAUGCGCUUAUCAGUCUCAUAACCCGUAGCUCUUAAGAAUACUUUAAUAUUGUCUUUGACAUCUAGGAAACUGUUCUGUAAAUAAAUCCAAAGGCCAGGGUAUUCCCCCCUUUAGGCCUCUUUCUCAUACCACAACUUGUGGUCGGAAUUUUUCCAAUCUCAUAAAUAUUGUUACCUUCUGACAUGCAUCAUGUACAGUUGUGUACUUGUAUGUGUGCCUAUGCGACUCUUCUCUCCUUUUUCCUCCAACUUUUAGCCAAUCUCUAGGCCUCACUUUAUGAACAUAUACAGAACUAUGACAAGAUGUCCCUCAAGGCAUAUAUAGGUGUACUAAAGUUCUUCGCUUGGUACUUUAUCGAACUUACGACUAUUGCUAUAUCUUGUUUCAUAGCCUUGUAUAUCUAUCCUUAUGGCUUUUCUACAUCUAGGUAGGUUAUACUAUACCAUAACACUUACUUUUGUUUAUUUUUAUCGAGGUUUGCUACCCAACUCCAGGUUAUUCUCUCGCUACUUAUCCUAUAUGUAUAAAUCUAAGUCAUUUAAUGCUUCCUUAUUAAUGUUCAUCUAAAUAAUGGCAUCAUAAUCUCCUCUCAUAUUUUGGAACUCUUAUCCAUCUAUUAUUGAUUCACCUUAAUGUUGAUCUAUAAUCCACCACUAAUAACUUGAAACCUCUUACGUAAUACAUUGUCACUAGGGCUCACGUCUCAUCGAGGAACAUCUGAAGUGGCUUUCCUUAUCCACCUAGGGACAAUACCAUACUUCAAUAACCUUAUUUUAUAGCAUCCCAAUGUGAUUCGUCUUAUAUUCUAAUCCUGUGCCAUCCAUGAAAUCUCUUCUCUUUGAAUCAUUACUCAAUUGAAGGCCUAAAUAUCAUCCUUUUAUUAUUUACCACAAUUACACCCUUACAUUACGACUAGGGAAGCAUUCUAUCUCUUCUAAAUGCUCCUAGUCUUAGAAUCCUCCGUGUUAAUUCAAGCUAUACUGAGCUUUUUAUAACAUACAUAAACCAUCAUCUCUCUUGUUUGAUGGGCUUAAUACCAAGGUCUUACCUAUUCUUGUCAACUCCUAACUUAGCUUUUCUUAUCCUUACUCCCAUAUACCUAAAGUCUUGUCACUCUGCCAUACUUUAGCUUGCGACCUACAUAUAUCUAUUUGUAAUACUCACAUCCUUCCUUUAACUUGCUAGCACCACAGAUUUCCUUUUGUGCCUUCUCAGUUGUCUUUAAAUGUAAGCAAUUACUUUUCCUGGCCGUUCUGCCAUUUGUUGCAUGAAUACUUGGCUUGUCUUAUUGCCCACGAAUACUAUAAUUUCAUGUACCUCAUAUGAUCUCAAACAUCACCUUUGAUUUGUUUUCCCAUUCAUUAGCCAUUAUAGGCACCACUUUCUUAUGGAGUGCAUCCAAUGUUGUAGUGAGACUAUUGUUACCAGACCAAUUCUUCUUCAAGUUAAUAUGCUUAGGUUGAAGCCCUUUUCCUUAUUUCCUGAGCUAGUCUUUCGUGGUAGUACUUAGGAGACUUUCUGGAUCUUGUAAAGUUGCGAGCUUGAUAUAUCGUACACCUGAAGGAAAUUUUCGUUGUUCUUACUCGCCUAUAAUAAUCCUUAGUUAAAUAACUUUGUGCCCUUGUGCUCGUAGGGUUACUUCUAAGCUCAAAUUUUCAUUGUCUCUUUAGUGGUACUCUCUCUUAUUUUCAUAAAACUUAAACGGUACCUUUAACUGCCUCAACUCCUAUCUAAAUUUUUUUAGAUGAUUGUGAUCUCAUAUCUAUGAGACUAAAUUCCCUAUGAUGUGGUUCAAUACAUUUAUAUUGCAUGAUCUUUUAAUUUAUCUGUGACCUCUUGUUUAGCCAUAACCGGGCUCUUCCUGAAUCAACUACUAAUUACUCGUUGGUCCAUUCUCAUAUAUAUAUUUCGCAUAAGCUCUCUUGGGAUAUAUCCUUUGUCUUAACUUACCUCUCGCCACUAGCUCCUGAUGUUUCAAGUGUCCAUUCACACUUAUUUAUCAAUAACAUCCUGGCUGAAAACUUUUACUACCUUUCCCCGGUAUCGUGCUUGUAUAAAGUUCUGGAGUCACAACAUAUCUGUAGGAACUGAAUAAAUGCAACAUCAUCCCUUUCUCCUUUUCACCACAUUCUUCCUUUACCAUUCCAUAGUUACCUAGACCGCUUAACUCCGACUUAAUACCAUAUCAUACCACAUUCCCUCCUUUAGGGGAGUACUAAGAUUUAGUACUAUGAUGAUCUAGCUAUAGAUGUUUUACCUCUUCAUCUUUGGCGUCUUUUCACAUUAUAAAUGAACCUUAAUCGCCUUAUGGUAAUUUUUUGUACCAGGGAUAACUAAAUUUCUUAUGCAGAAGGUGACACCUAGUGUAAUUGGCACAUUUAGUCCCUUAAGCUUAACUUUGCUCACAUUGCUCGCUUUAGGGAAACCUCUUCCUGAAUGACCUUUAAAGGUUAUUCUUCUAUUGUCCAUUUUAUUAUUGUUGGAACACGAUCUCCGAAAUUCUUAUGAGGCUGACUAUUACCAAAUACUUCGAUCCCUAAUUCAUGUUCAGUUUAUCUUAUUCUCCAUCCCAUACUGAUUUCUAUUACUCCGGGGUCUAAUCUUUCCUUAUGGUAAUCACGUUAGAGUCACCAAAUCAUUUCUCGAAAUGGGAAUAUGACUUUAUGUCUUAUACUCUUUUAUUGUCUUAAGUCCUGUCACCUCUUAUAUCUUCCUUCACUUGACUAUAAACUUUAUCAUCAUGUCGUAUUUUGAUUUACUGUUAUCACCCAUUUAUUACAUCUUACUCAUAAUGCUUUAUUUACUCUCUUCUUAUUCUCCGGCUAAUAUUUCUGUCUAUCACUUUAUUCUGAUAACUUCAACAAAUCAUUCUUUCACUUUUAGCUCCCCUUGCUUCAUCUCACUGGCUCUUUAGGUCACCUAGCAUUCUCUCUUUACUAGGAACGGGAGCCAUACAAAGGUAAAUAUUUAUCCCUUCUAGGAUUUCAGUGCCAAUCUUCUAAAAUUUCUGAACAUUCAUGUAUUCAUAUAUGAUUGUACUAUACUAUGGUGCACCAUCUGGGUGUCUCACAAGGAGAUCUGUUACCACGUUUUCACUAUCCGUCAAAAAUGUUAGCUAAUGAUAACAAUCCAUCUACAAAUUUGGGCUACUCUAACCCCAGCUGGAUCCUAAUAUCCCAUUCUUCUUUUAAACUAUAUUUGUUAGCUCCCAUAGGGCAUAAUUUCGAUGGGCGUGGCCAAUUGUACAUACCUCUGUUGCUGUUGAAUGUAACUCAUAAUACAUAUAUUUCUCUGCCUGAAUUGUAAAACUCAAAACCUUCACUAACUGGUACCUCGUAAUCUUUGUCACCUUGCUUCUUUUAUUUGUUGAAACUUGUAUCUACCUUCUGAUUCUCUUGUUGAUUUUUAAACCAUAUGGGUGGAUAGAUAUUCACGCCUUACGCCUGCUUAUCAAUAAACUUUCACGCUUUAGUACACAUAUAAUCUACUGAAGACCUUACAUUUACUCAUCAUAAGCAUGAUACAAAUUUAUGUUUCAUUGACUCAACUCUUCCAUAACAAAGUUUCUCUUACCUACUAUCUGUUUGGAUGAGGAAUCAUUGUGUUACAAAUAAAAUAGAAUUUACAAGUUUGAAUUCUUACAAUUGUGCUCUACCACACGAUCUAGAGUAAGAAGAAAGAGUGACAGUAAUAAAUGCCCUGCAGCCUCCUACUUAUAAGUGUAGUGCACUACACACCCAUAAAUAAGACUCUACUAGACACGGCUUGUAGACUCCCUAGAACAGAACUGCUCUGAUACCACUUCUGUCACGACCCAAAUUGGAGGGCCGCAAUGGGCAUCCGGUGCCUUACCCAACCGAGUACCAACAUAACGUAUUCUUUCUUAUCAUACCAUUAUGGGUAAAUAGGAUGGAAGGGUCGUCAUGAUAUAACCAGAAUGAAACAUAAGGGAAUACUCAACAUAGGAUGACCCAACAUGAUAUACAACCUUAUACACGUGACAUGCCUAUAAGACCAAAAUGAACACUCGUACAUUGAACAUAUGUUGACAAGGCCAUACAAUCUUUCAUAUGCAUGACAUCUGUCUACAAGCCUCUAAGAGCACACACAUAUUAUAAGGUCGGGGCAGGACCCUGCCAUACCAAUGAAUACAUGUCCAAAUCAUAUUGACCAAAUAGGCAACUCCGGAGAAAGUGUUGUGCACCAACACCUUCUGUUGAGCUAAUAGCCUACUAGGAUGUCAACCUAUCUAUCGGGACCUGUAGCAUGAAAUACAGUGUCCCCAGGCAAAAGGGACAUCAGUAUAAAUAAAGUACCGAGUAUGUAAGGCAGGAAAACAUAAAUAAGAACAGUAAUGUAAAGAGAGAUAGAGGAGAUACAACCUGUAACAUCUGAGUGCCUCUAGGGGCUACUGACAUGAAAUGCAUAAUACAUAUAUAUACAUAAACUUUUUAAAAGCAUACGUCUUUGUGGGCAUCAUCAUCAUCACAUCGUACCCGGCCUCAAAGAGGACCUGGUAAAAAAAACGUACCCGGCCAUCAUAAGGCUCAGUAGAAUCGGACCCGGCCACGUGGAGCUCGGUAAUCCCAACCGAUUAGUUGUUGCACAAUAGGUGUCGUACUCGGCUGACUAUAGCGCACCUCGGUAGAGUAAAAUAGAUACAUAUAUAUAAUGCAUGCUCGACUCAUGGAAUCAUGCUCUAAACCUUUUAGAGUGAUGUAUGGUCAGUAUCCUCUGUACACAUUAUCAGGACUAACUCUUCACUAUGAACCUUAUAAGAAUCAGGAAGUAUCAACAACAUUGAUAACAUAAGAAUAAGAGAAGCAACAUCAACAUCAAUUGUUCCAUAAGAGGGGAAACAAUUUAAGUACUGCUAGCUUCUAAGAGUAGAGUAUCUUUGGAAGAUCGUUCAUUACAUUACGUACAAUCGGAGUCAUGCAAAAGAAGGAAAAGGAUAGCCUCACAUACCUUGUAUAUGUACUGCCCAACCUCAAGCUAUGCAAAUGUCAUGAUUUCUUAGUCUACAAUAAAAGAAAUGACACUAUCGUUAUCGUUUUAGCAUCGUAAUUAUUAUGUAUCGGCCACAACCUAUUUCACAAUGAAAUGGAAAGCACCUCCCCUAUAUAUAUAACUUCACACAAGUCAAAAAAAUCAGAAACAGCCCAACAUAUCUCUAUCACUUCACACACAACACGACAACCAUAAUAGUAUUAAAUAAUCCGAAAAUAUUACGACGAACGACCAACAAACAACCUUGCCAUUAUGUGGUGUUUCUCUACAUUAUUCCUCCUCUCAACUCCAAAAAAAAGUAGCAAAAGAGACAACCCAAUACCAACAUGAAACAACCCACAGAACAGUCCCCUAAGUUUAUCAACUCCAAAGUAAUUUUUCAGUUUACUUAAACACCUUUCGACUUGUCUUUUCUCUCAAUUGAGAAAAACAACCAAAAGUACAUAGUUAUACCUAUUAUCCAAUAAAACAACCAUGAAUUCAACUUAAAAAUAAGUUCACAAUCAGCCAACCAUUACACAAGAAUAAACAACAUACCAUUCUUUCGAAACUAGCUAGGUUUAUUAUUUACGAUCGAGUUACAACUCACAAACGCAUAGAUAAUGGAAGGAGAAGCAUAAAAUUACCUUGUACUGAGUAUAACCCACGAAACCUGGUCUGUCUUCAUCAAAAAUAAGUUCCUCAACACGGCUACAAGAAGGAGAAAGAGAAACUAGCAAGCUGUCUGGACUUUUCAGCACUAGAAUUGUGUCGUAACACCCGGAAUAUCCUAGGGUUUGUGUAGGAUUUUUGGGGAGGAGUUGCAAGGAUUCAAUUAGGUUUUCUUGUUCUUAAAGAUAGGUGAAAUAACUGAGUUGAUAGUCCCUUAAAAGACCCCUCUUGGCCGACUUUGAGGCUUUUAAUUGAGUCCUCUCAUUUUGGCAAGUAGGUGAUGCACCUACUUGUCACCUACCAUCCUGCGCAGUCUCGCAAAAAUACGAGUAUCUCUCUACUCCGACUUCGUAUCAACAAACAAUUUAAUGCUUUAGAUACUAGAAUCAUAGAUAUUUAAUUUGGUAUGUAGAUCAUCCCCUAAUUCCAAGUAUAUUGGGGAAAAAGCUCAGUUACAUUUGACCUAAUUUUCAGCACAUUUAUGAAUGAAACUUGUGAUGAUCUUUUCCAACUUUUGUUUCAUAACUCGCUUGACUUCAAAACAUAACACCAACUAUCAUACGACUAAAAUAACUCAUAUUAUAAUCUCCUUAUAAUGUUAAUAACCCUAGUUUUACCCCAAAAGUACAUGGAAAAAUAUUCCAACUUGUCGACUUUUGACGAAACUUAUUUUCUUCAAUUUGUUUAGCUUCUUAGCCUUUAAACCCUCUUGCUACUUGGUAUUAAAUAUCUUAGAUAUUUGUAACCUCCACGUUAACAUGAUGAACUAACUUUAUAAACUUUUCAAAGAUGAUUCCCUUUUUGAGCUUACAUUAAUUGACUUAUGACGUUCUCUUACGUACGAAAAUAUGGGGUGUAACAAUACCAUUCGUGAGCGACUGUCCAUUUGAGUUUGUGUGUGGUGGUGAAUUUCACAUGGUUGAUUAACGUAUCUUCACUCCCACCAAUGAUCAUUUGUAUAGUACGAGAUGGUGAUAGUGGUUUUAGAGGUCCCUAAGGUUGAUCGCGUCCACGAGAAAAGUUGGCCCAUCCUCGAUUGCUCAGCAGUUCUUUCAGGUAUCACUUGUUUAACAUUCUUACCACUUUCUGUCGCAAACAUAUGCAGUCCUCGGUCUUGUGUCCCCUUUUAUGAUGGAAUUUACAUAGAACAUUCGAUCUCCUCGUGCUCGGAUUCGACUUCAUCUUGUGCGGCCACUACACCUUUGUGGCGAGCUUUUCCAGUGCGUACACUAUUUCUGAAGGAGAAAUACAAAAGUUAUGAGUAGAUAAUAGUGGAGGCAUACCUCUUUCAUUUCAGGGUGGUGCGAUGUGUCGAGGCGCACCAUCUAUAUGUCGUGGAGGAGGUGGGUUGGAUUUUCGGAUAUAGGGCUGGUGCCUUUCUCAAUUGAAACGUGGUAGUUGGUCCCUUCAGCCGUCAUUGCGGUGAUCUCUCCUUGUCUCUGUCUGGACCGAGGUUAGUCAUUGGAUCGGACCGUUCAGGCCAUCCUCAUCUGCCCUCACUUCGGCUCAAUAGGCAUUAUGGAUCUCUUCCCACGUGGUGGGGGGUACUUCAUGAGUCUACUUAGCAGCUUUUUGGUUGCUUUUGACCCAUUUCUAUUUAACCCAUUUUGAAAGGCUGCUACCGCCAUACUUUCUGACACGUUUGGUAUGCUCAUCCUUACCCUGUUGAAUCGGGCUAGGAAAUCCCGAAGUCCUUCAUCUGUCGUUUACCUGACAACGAAGAUAUCAUUUACCCUGGCCUCUGCCUUUUUCGCUCCUGCGUGAGCGGUGACUAACUUAUCUGCCAUUUCUUCGAACGUUCAUAUCGAUCGUGCUGGUAGUUGGGAAUACCAUAUCAACGCUCCUCUUUUCAGAGUUUUGCCAAACUUUUCAGCAGUACUGACGGCACCUGUUCUUUUGAUAGAUCGUUACCUUUUACUAUAGUAACGUAAUGGAUUAAGUGAUCCUCCGGGUCUGUGGUGGCAUCAUAUAUUUUUAGAUAUGGCAGCAUUUUGAAGGUUUUUAGAAUAGAGUGGGAAGCUGCCCCUUCACUAUAUGGUUGUUCGACGAAUCGGCCCACGUCACGUUUUGGUAGCAACUUCGGAGCGCCCGAUAUUUUAUCAACCCUUUCCUGAUGCUCUUUCAUCUGUCGUAGAGUGUUUUGUUCUCAUUUUCCAUCUCUUCCAUUUUCAUUAAGAUGGUCGCAAGUGCAUUGUUGCUUGCAUCAGCGACCGUAUGGGCGUUACUUGUUCGUGUAAUUUCUGGCUCAUCGACGACAGUUGCGGUUUCUGCGGGUAAUGUGUCUUCGAUAUCCCUCUAUACGGGUUUCUCGAGUAUGUUGCUCAAGAUAUUUGUCAGCCAUUCUUCUAAUAGCCUUUUCACGGCUGGUGGUACUUCUCUUGCUGUGGAUGUUAAGGUUUCCCUCUCGCGCGAGACAGUUAAACCCUCUUGGGGGGGUGUGAGAUCUCUCCCUCAGGUGUAGCACUUGAUGUUGCGUUUUUGUUGUCUUCUCCAUUGGCAUCAUUGAGGGAAUUCAGGAGGUUGUUCGUGACACCUACUAUUGCAUUUAGCCUUGUUUCUCCCUUUCCUGCAAUUGUUAGCCUUUGUAAGACUAAAAAGAGGUUAUUAUUUCUUUCAAGAAUCUAGACAAAACUAAGAUCUCAGCUAUAGAAAUCCCCACAGACGGCGCCACAUUGUUUGACUCAAAAGAUAUCGAAAUCUUUUUGAAUAAAUCAAUCAAAGAAAAUGAAGGGGUAAAUCUUAUCUAUGUAUAAUAAUCUCUAGAAAGAAAGAUAGAUAAGGGGAAUACGGAUGAUAAGAAUUCUUUAUCCCAUCUAGACCAAAAGACCUUUCACAAUAAUCUUCUCAAUCUUUUAUGUAAGCAAGUUUACAGCAAGUAUUAUGGAUUAGCAAAAGUGCCUGCCCUUACAAAGUUGUUUCAUGCUAUAUAUAUAUAUAUAUAUAUAUAACGNNNNNNNNNNNNNNNNNNNNNNNNNGUGCAGAUCCAGGUUCUUCUGCUCAGCCAUUCUACCAGUGAGGCGGGCGAUACCAGAGACUUCGAGGUAUAUAUGUCGCGUCCGCAAAUCUAGAAGUCCCUCUCUAUUCUCCCCUCUAGCUUUAGACUUCCUGUACUUACUUUUGAUUAGACAUUCUAGAGUUAGAACACUAUAUAGUUUUUCUACAGUUUGUGAUUUCAUGAGAUUCUGGGUUUUGGGAGUUUGAUUCAAUUUUGAGAGUAUGUAUUGUAUAUGCCGAGCGGCAUUUCCAAACUCUUUACUUAUAUUUUUACUCGUAACUUGCCAGUUUCGUAUUUCAUUUCCUUUUUCCGCAAUUUGUUAGGCUUACCUAGUUGUAGAGACUAGGUAUAGUCACGACAGUUCACGGAGGGAGAACUAGGGUCUUGAAAAGUUAGUAUCAGAGAUCUAGGUUCAUAGAAUGUCAUGAAUCGCAAGCCGAUUUAUUAGAGUCUCACGGAUCGGUACGGAGACGUCUGUACUUAUCUAUGAGAGGCUAUGUAACUAUUAGGAAAAUUCCACUUCAUUUGAUUUCCUUGUUAUGUAAGAGUUUUGAUAUCAAAAUUCUAAACCUCUAUCUUCUAUUCUCUCACAGAUGGCGAGGACACGUGCUACCGGAGAUGAACAGGAACCCGCACCCCCUACUAGAUCCAUCAGUGGUCGGGGCUGGGGUAGAGGCCAAGGACGUGCACGUGGUGCAGCCAGAGCACCCUCGCGAGCUGCCAUAGAGGAGCCACUAGCAACUCCAGCCGGAGCCCAAGCACCUGACACGCCUACUGCUACUACUACUACUCCAGCUCUUCAGGAGACCUUUGCACAGUUCGUGAGCAUGUACACCACUCUAGCUCAGGCAGGGUUAAUUCCCCUUGCUGCAGCCACAUCCCAGGAAAGGGAGGAGCCUAGACUCCCGCCUCCCAUACCCCAGAGCAGCGAGUCCUGGUUAAUUAGAUCCCAGAGGUUAUACCGGUACCGUCUGCAGCCCCAGUUAAGCCCGAGGAUAGGGCAGCAGCUUCGGAGGAUGAGCAGCGGAGGCUUUAGAUGUUCAAGAAGUACAAGCCUCCUAUAUUCAGUGGUCUAGCAUAAGAUGAUGCUCUGGUAUUUCUGGACAAGUUCUAACGUAUCCUCCGCACUAUGGGUAUAUCAGGAUCGAGUGGGGUUUACUUCAGUACCUUCCAUCUUCGAGGAGCAGCGUACCAAUGGCGGCGUACUUAUGAGUUGGAAAGACCAGCUGAGGCACCUUCCCUUAUAUGGACCUAGUUUUCAGAUAUAUUUUGAGGGAGUAUGUUCCUCAAAGCCUUAGGGAUGCAUGACGCGCUAAGUUUGAGCAUUUGCGCCAAGGUGCUAUGAUAGUUUCGGAGCAUGCUGUCCAUUUCACUGACUUGGCUAGGCAUGCAAAAGCCUUGGUUUCUACAGUUCGUGAGAGAGUUCACCGGUUUAUUGAGGGGCUCAUUCCUAGCAUCAAGUCUAGCAUGGCUCGGAAGUUGGAGAUAGAUAUCUCUUAUCAGCAGGUGGUGAGCAUUUCUAGGAGAGUAGAGGGUAUGCAUGCUUGGGAUAGAGAGGAUAGGGAAGCCAAGAGGUCUCGAGGGUCGGGUCAUUAUUCUGGUGCCCGUGCCCCAGUUGCAGUUCAUCAUGGUAGGGGUUAUAUGAGUCGCCCUGUUUAUUCAGCUCUUCUAGCAGCCAGUGGUAUUCCAGCUCCUCCUAGACCCAAAGAGCCUUAUUAUGAACCUCCAGUAUCUAGGCCUCCUACAUGGGGUGCUUUCAGUGGUUAGUCCAGCAGAACUUGAGCGAGCCAGUCACAGCCGCCACUUCCUCCCAGAGCUUGUUUUGAGUGUGGUGACACACACCAUAAGGUGAGAGAUUGCCCCAGACUUAGGAGGGGUGCACCUCCACAGACUUCUGAGCCAUAACAUGCUUCGUAGAGUUCUCAUGCUAUGAUUACAGCACUAGUUGUUGCCCCACCUACCCAACCAGAUAGAGGGGAGGUCGGGGAGGUAGAGGUCUCCCUAGAGGGGGAGGCCAAGCUAGAUAUUAUGCCAUUCCUGCCCAUACUGAGGUUGUCGCCUCCAAUUCUGUCAUCACAUGUAUUGUACUGGUUUAUCAUAUAGAUGCAUCAGUUUUAUUCGAUCUAGGCUCCACUUAUUCUUAUGUGUCCUCUUAUUUUGCCUCGUAUUUGGGCGUACCUCGGAAUUUUUUGAGUUCCCCUGUUUAUGUUUCUACUCCCGUGGGAGAUUCUCUUAUUGAGGACCACGUUUAUCAGUCAUGUUCGAUUGCUCUUAGUGGUUUUGAGACUAGAGCCGAUCUAUUAUUGCUCACCAUGGUAGAUUUAGAUGUUAUCUAGGGCAUGGACCGGUUGUCACCCUAUUAUGCUAUUCUUGCUUGUCUCGCCAAAACCUUGACAUUGGCUAUGCCAAAUGUACUGCGAGUAGAGUCAAGGGGUACCUUAGAUCACACUCCCAGUAGAGUUUUUUCAUUCCUUAAGUCUCAGCGAAUGGUUGACAAGGGUUGUGGCGCAUAUCUAGCUUACGUGACAGAUAUCAGUAUUUAUACCCCUAUAGUUGAUUGAGUCCCAGUAGUAUGGGAUUUCCUUGAUGUGUUUCCAACUGAUCUUCCGGGUAUGCCACCCGACAGCGAUAUUGAUUUCGGCAUUGAUUUGUUGUCGGUCACUCAGCCUAUUUUCAUUCCUCCUUAUCAUAUGGCCCCUCCUGAGUUAAAGGAGUUGAAGGAUAAGUUACAGGAAUUGCUCGAUAAGUGUUUUAUUCAGCCCAGUCACCUUGGGGUGCUCUUGUCUUGUUUGUGAAGAAAAAGGAUGGUUCUAUGCGUAUGUGCAUUGAUUAUCGCCAGUUGAACAAAGUUACAGUGAAGAACCAGUAUCCUUUGACUCGUAUUGAUGAUUUGUUUGACCAGUUAUAAGGUGCUCGAGUGUUUUAUAAGAUUGACUUGCGUUCAGGUUAUCAUUAGUUGAAGAUUCGAGAGCCAGAUAUCCCGAAGACUGCUUUCAAGACUCGGUAUGGUCAUUACGAGUUCCUUGUUAUGUCAUUUGGGCUGACCAAUGCCCCAGCAGCCUUUAUGCAUUUGAUACACAACAUUUUCUGCCAUAUCUUGACUCGUUCAUCAUUGUCUUUAUUGAUGACAUUCUGGUAUACUCCUAGAGUCGGGAGGAUCAUGAGCAGCACCUGAGGACAACGCUUCAGACUUUGAGAGAAAAGAAAUUAUAUGCAAAUUUCUCAAAAUGUAAGUUUUAGUUGGAUUCCGCGAAAUUCUUCGAUCACGUGGUAUCGAAUGAAGGGAUCAAGGUGGAUACAAAGAAGGUGGAGGCGGUAUAGAGUUGGCCCAGACCAUCCUCAACUAUAGAGAUCCGUAGUUUUCUUGGCUUGGCGGGUUAUUACCAUCGAUUUGUUUAGGGAUUUUCAUCUAUUGUAGCACCUAUGACCAAACUGACCCAGAAGGGUGCUCCGUUCCAGUGGACGGAAGAGUGUGAGGAGAUCUUCCAGAAGCUCAAGACAACUUCAGUAUGAUGACCCUCAUUUGCUUAUCCUCAUAGACAAGGUUCUGCAUGGUGAUGCUAGAGAUGUGACCAUUGGUGAUGAUGGUGUAUUGAAGAUGCAAGGUCGAGUAUGUGCACCCAAUGUUGAUGGGCUUCAAGAGUUGAUUCUAGAGGAAGCCCACUGUUUGCGGUAUUCCAUCCAUCUGGGUGCCGCAAAGAUGUACCAAAAUUUGAGACAUCACUAUUGGUGGAGGCGGAUAAAGAAUGAUAUAAUUGGAUUUGUAGCUAGGUGCCUCAAUUGUCAUCAGGUAAAGUAUGAGCACCAGAGACCAGGUGGUUUGCUUCAGCAGAUAGAUAUUCUGGAGUGGAAGUGGCAGCGGAUCACCACGGAUUUCGUAGUUGGACUCUCACAAACUUUGAGAAAGUUCGAUGCCAUUUGGGUGAUUAUGGAUCGGCUGACCAAGUUUGUGCAUUUCAUCCUUUGUGUACCACCUACUCUUCGGAACGGUUGGCGGUGAUUUAUAUCCAGAAGGCUAUUUGUCUGCAUGGUAUUCCAGUUUCCAUCAUUUUAGAUAGAGGUACUUAGUUUACAUCACGGUUCUGGAGGGCCGUACAACAUGAAUUGGAUACUUCGGUGGAGUUGAGCAUAGCAUUUCACCCCCAGACAGACUGACAGUCCGAGCGCACAAUUCAGAUUUUUAAGGGUAUGCGUCGUGCGUGUGUGAUGGAGUUUGGAGGUUCUUGGGAUCAGUUCUUGCCACUAGUGGAGUUUGCCUACAAAAACUGUUAUUAGUCCAACAUUCAGAUGGCACCGUAUGAGGCCUUGUAUGGUAGGCGGUCUAGAUCCCCGGCGGGUUGGUUUGAGCCAGGUGAGGCUAGAUUAUUAGGCACAUACUUGGUUCAAGACGCCUUGGAGAAGGUUAAGGUGAUAUAGGAUAGACUUCGCACAUCCCGGUCCAGAUAGAAGAGUUAUGCGGACCAGAAGGUUCGUGAUGUUUCCUAUAUGGUUGGAGAGCAGGUCUUGCUUCGGGUUUCGCCUAUGAAGGGCGUCAUGAUAUUUGGGAAGAUGGGGAAAUUGAGUCCGGCUUUUAUUUGUCCUUUUGAGGUAUUAUGACGUGUUGGGGAGGUUUCUUAUGAGCUUGCCUUACCUCCCAGCUUGGCAGGAGUUCAUCCGAUAUUUCAUAUUUCGAUGCUUAGAAAGUAUCACGGUGAUCCGUCACAUGUGUUGGAUUUCAGUUCAUUCCAGUUGGACAAGGAUUUAUCUUAUGUGGAGGAUCCAGUGGCGAUAUUGGGUAGGCAAGAUCGAAAGUUGAGGUCAAAGAACAUUGCAUCAAUGAAGGUUCAGUGGCGGGGUCAGCCGGUCGAUUAGGCGACUUGGGAGACCGAACGGGAUAGCGCAGUCAUUACCCUCUUCUUUUCACUACUUCAGAUAUGUUUCUAUGCUCGUUCGAGUACGAACGAAUGUUUUAAGCGGGGGAGGAUGUAACGAUCCGGCCAGUUUUUUUGAGAAUUAACGCCUUGAUCCCCUAUUAACUGCUUUCCCCGGGUUUAUUGUUGCUAUUGUGAGUUGCCGGGAAGUUUUGAGUUUCGAAGUGUUUUGGGACACGUAGUCCCUCAAUGAGAUCUUAAGCUUUAGAAUUUGGACCGUAGUCGGAGCAGUGUGACGACGUCCUCGAAGUGGAAUUCGUAGAUUCUGUUAGCUUCGUUAAGUGAUUUCGGGAUUAAGGGCGUGUUCGGAUUGUGUUUUGGAGGUCUGUGGCUUAUUUAGGCUUGAAAUGCUGAAAGUUGAAUUUUUGAAGUAUUCAGAUUGAUAGUGAGAUUUUUAUAUCGGGGUCAGAAUCCAAUUCCGAAAGUUGGAAUAGCUCUGUAGUGUUGAAUGUGACUUGUGUGCAAAAUUUGGGGUCAAUCAGACAUGGUUUAGUUGGUUUCAGCAUCGGUUGUAGAAUUCUUGAGAUUUCAAGUUCAUUAGGCAUGGAUUGGAGGGUGAAUCAUGGUUUUAGCGUUGUUUGAUGUGAUCUGAGGUUGGAUUAAAUUUGUAUGAUGUUUUAGGAUUGGUUGGCAUGUUUGGUUGAGGUCCCAAGGGCCUCACGUGAGUUUCGGGUGUUUAAUGGAAUUAGAUUUGGACUUAGGCAUUUUCUGAUAUUGCUGAAUCUAUCAUAACCGCACCUGCGUAUGUGGGACGGCAAGUGCGGGACUGCAGAAGCGGCUUGAUGAUCGUAGAAGCAGAUUUAGGCUAGGGCUUCAGGAAUCGCAGGUGCGGCUGGCUGACCGCAAAUGCGGAACCACAGAUGCGGCCAAGUGACCGCAAAUGCGUCCCCAGCCCGGUUAAGUGAAUUUCGCACCUGCGAUGCCUUUUCCGCAGGUGCGUCCCCCCUGACGCAUAUGCGGUAAUCGCUCGGCAGAUAUAGAACUUUUGAGAGUUUGAAGUUCAUAACAUUAAAUUUGAUUUUAGCUCGGGAGAAGGCGAUUUUGAGAGGGUUUUGAAGAGGAAAUCAGUGGGUAACGAUUCCUAACCCUAUUUCGUUUAUAUUUUAUCAAUCUAUUGUUGUUUUACACAUUUAAUCUAAGAAUUUGAGUGGAAGAAUGGGGAUUUGGGGGACAAGUUCCCCAAUUGAAAAUUCGAGUUUUGAGUAAGAUUUGGAGUCGGAUUUUGAUGAUUUUUGUUUGAGUGUGCUCGUGAGUGAAUGGGUGUUCAUAAUUUCUGACUUUUACCCGAUUCCGAGGCUUGGGCCUGGGGAGGAUUGUCGGGCGUUUUUCUAUUUCCUUACCUUAGCUUCGAUUCCUUUAGCUAAAUUUGUUGUUUGUUAUAUUUACAUUAUUAAAUUUAUUUAAUUAGAUUUGGCCCACUAAGAGUUGGAUAAUCGUUGCAAGAGCGUGAUUUCAGAUUUAUUUUGAGUUGGUUCGAGGUAAGUGGUUUGCCUAACCUUGUGUGGGGUGACUCUCCUUAGAAUUUUGGUAUUGUUGUUAUAUGAGUGUCGUAUACGUGAGGUGACGAGUGUGUAAACGUGCUAAUUGUUGAAAAACUCCAUUUUCAUUAAGUAAAUAUCUGCGUUUUCUUCUAAUUGAGAAAUUCUUGUACUUGAAGCCUCUUGUUUAGUUUAGGAAAAGCAUGCUCAUGUGAUCUAAUUGUCUUACUUGCUUUAUCUGCUUACUUGUAUUUUGUGAAACAUGUUUAGAGUAGAAUUCCUAUUUAUUUUCGAAUAGAAUUGUAGGUUCUUUCUUGAGACUGUUGUUUGUUUACUUUGGGACUACGGGACGAUAUCCCGGGAGAUGCCCCUGCAUGUUUACUUUGGGACUACAGAUCGGUAUUCUGAGAGAUCCCCCUGCACGUUUACAUUUGGGACUACGGGACAAUACCCGGAAGAUUCUCCUGUACUAGAUAUUUACUUUGGGCCUACGGAUUGGUAUUCCGGGAGAUUCUCCUACAUAUUUAUGAUUCGGGCUACGAGACGAUAUCAUAGGAGAUCCUCUACACAAUUACAUUAGGAAUUAUGGGACGAUAUCCUCGGAGAUCCCUUGUUGCUAUCUCUAUGUACUGAGUAUAUUAUGUCUGUGAUUUUACUCUUUAUCAAUUGUUAGUAUUUUUAAUUAUACCGUAGCACUUCAUACUAUUUUACCUUGUUUUAUAUGUAUAUAACCAAUAGGGCCCUGACCUUCCUCGUCACUACUCGACCGAGGUUAGGCUUGACACUUAGUGUGUAUCGUUGUAGUGUACUCAUGCCCUUUCCUCCACAUAUUUUUUGUGUGCAGAUCCAGGUUCUUCUGCUCAGCCGUUCUACUAGUGAGGCAAGCGAUAUCAGAGAUUUCAAGGCAUAUCUGCCGCAUCCGCAGAUCCAGAAGUCCAUCUCUAUUCUCCCCUCUAGCUUUAGACAUUCUGUAUUUACUUUUGAUUAGAUAUUCUGGAGUUAGAACACUAUAUAGUUUUUCUACAGCUUGUGAUUUCAUGAGAUUCCGGGUUUUGGGAUUUUGAUUCGGUUUUGAGAUAACGUAUUGUAUAUACCGAGCGGCAUUUUCAAACUCUUUACUUAUGUUUUUACUCGUAACUUGCCAGUUUUGUAUUUCAUUUCCUUUUUUCAAAAUUUGUUAGGCUUACCUAGUUGUAGAGACUAGGUGCCGUCACGAAAGUUCAUGGAGGAUGAACUAGGGUCAUGACAGUUUCACUGGCAAAGUCUUGGAACAAUCUAUCAAAAUGCUUCUGUGCUUCUCCAUCAGACGGCUGGUGCAGCACACCAUCUAGCCUUCUAUAUUCAUAGCGCUAUCUCAUAUGAGGAGCGGAACUCAUUGAUGUAUAAUACCUCUUUAACCUUAGUAUAAGGGGUAAGUAGUGCAUCAACUUCAAUGGAACCUUCUUCUAUUUAGCAUUUGUGACAUCAUUGAAAUAAGGCAGGUUAAAAAAUGUAUUAUUUUCUAAAGCUUCAUCAUCCUUAUAGAAUAACAUGCAACCUUUAUUACAACAAUCAAUCCUCUUCGAUGAAAGACUCAACUUGGAAACUAAUUUCUUUGCCGUGUAAAAAUCUUUGGGCAGGUAAAUCUUUGUCGGAUUAAGUUCAUUCAUAAGGCCAAUGAUAGAAUCCAUGUCACUUGAGAAAUAGAAUUAUCUGAUUUAAUACUUAGUAAUCUAACUGCAACAAACAAUUUGGAAUACAUUGCGCCUUCAUAAAGAGGACAACUAGCUUCCUCUAACUACUUGAAGAAGCUCUUAGCCUCAUCAUUUGGUUUAGAUUGAGCCCCUGGGAACAUCUCAAAAGCAUCCCUCAUCAUUUCAUUGAAUCGAAAUUUUUUUACAUUAUUAUUCCCCGCUAUGGGACUAUCGUCUUCUCCACCAAAAGAAUUUUGAAAAUCAAUAUCAUUUACACUAGCAUGACUCUGCUCAUAAAUAGUCCACUCAUAAUAAUUUACCAUACACCCCUUCUUAUAUAGAUGAACAGUAAUAAUGUCGGAAGCCAAUAACUUAACUCACUUGCAUUUCACACAAGGACACCUAAUCGUCCCUUCAAUAAGGAAAUCAUCAAAUGUCUUUUCUUUACCAAUAAAGCCAGCAACCACUUCUAUAAAUUCUUCCCGCAAACCGUUACGAUUCGCAUGAUUCCUAUUGUACAACCAUCUACGAUGUGUAAAUUCCAUCUACACAUAGAAGAAAAUUAGAAAUUGAAAUAUUUAUGUUAUUUACCCUAAUCAAUAAAUUUUAUUCUUUAAAGGUUACUUAUCUAAAUAGUUUAAUUAUAUAUUUAAGUGUAAUUUGAUAUUUAUCUAUCUGAUUUAGUAAUCUAAAAAGGUUUUUGCAUUCAUCCAUACUCAUUGGUAAACUCAAAAGCAACAACAAGCGUUAAACAUUAUAUUCAAAAAACCUUAGCUUAAUACAAUUUCAAACCAAUGAGAUUAUUAUAUUUAAUAAACUUUAAUCUUACAAUUAUUUUGUAUAUUUACUUCACUAUUGUUUAAAGUAUAGAAGCUACAUAACAUAAAUAAUAUAAAAUACAAUUAAAUCCCUUUGAAAGAUGAAUCAAAAUUAAUGCUAUAAUUAUUCAACACACUACUUAAUGGUAACUGAAUAACAUAUAUACAUUACAAUGUGAAAAUAAAGUCAAAAUUGAAUAGUUUUAUUCCUAAUUUUAUAACAUAUAUAAUUUACCAUACCUUUCGAAGAUUACUCCUAUUGAAGAAGAAUAUAUAUCUCAACUUUCAAAAGAAGAUUAAUUUUAAUGUUACUCAAGGUUAAUUCACUUCUAAUUUUUUUAUUCAAAAGAAGAUUACUUUUAAUGUUACUCAAGGAUCUAAACAAUAGUUAUUCAAAGUCAAAAUUAAAUUAUUCUUCAUUUCAACUCUAAUUUCAAUUCUAAUCAUAUCAAACAAAAAAAUCUACAAUUCAAAUUUUAAUAGCAAUACAAAUAAAAAGAACAAAUAUAUUAACAUUCAAGUCCAGAGAAAGAUGAUGGAAGGACUUACCUCGCCAGAGAAGAUGCAUGCUGCCGGAGAAGACUCACGUUGCCGGAAAAGAUAUAAACACUACCUGAAAAAGAAAAAAAGAGGGGUUAGAAGGGGAGUUGGCCUUGACAGAGAUGAGGCGGAGAGGGAGGAAGGGAAAAAGAGAUAUAUACCGUCGGGCAAUUCGGCAACGACGACGUGGGAUGAACAAGUGGGCAAAGAGAGUGAAGGGGGCUAAGAUAAGAGAAAGAA
rnacentral:lncRNA from 1 species